rnacentral:snRNA from 10 species
UUACUUACUUAGCAGGGCAAAUGCUAUGGUUACUAAAGUGGCUUAUUCUAAACGUGACUCUCACCUAUUUCAUUCCAAGUAUGCUGUUCUGUCAUUUCCUCUAACGUGGGAAGCUCAGCUGCAUAAUUUGUAGCAAUGAAGCAGAAGUUACA